AUGGGAGGUCGAUGUGGAGGCGGCGGAUCGGACGAGCCCGACGAGAGGUCCGCCCGGGAACUGGAGCUGCAGCGCCGCCGGCUUUUCCUCCCAAUUUCUUCGAGCAGAGCUGGAGCGAUGCCGUCGCCGGCGUCGUCGAGCUGUCGAGAGCCGGGAGACGAGUUCGUGAACGAGGAACCUGUCGAGUACGCUUACGAGGAUCAAGCUUUCGACAACUCUGAGAAUCUUGCAGUUGCAGGUGCCGACGAUGCCAGUGCAGAUGACGGCGUCGAUCUCAAGUGGGAGUUCGACGAGGAACGUGGUCGUUACUAUGUGUCUUUUCCUGAUGAUCAGUAA
rnacentral:rRNA from 1 species